UGUGUGUGCCCUUUGGGAGCUGAUUGCCAGGGCACCUGUGGGGCUGGGAUCAUGGCAGGGUGUUGUAAGCAAGGAAUGCCUGGCUUCUAAAACUCACCAGUUGUAUCCUAGAGGCUUCUUUGAAGAGCUGAGUUGAGGCAGCAGAAUUGGCCCUGCAGGAGGGACUCUGUGCCUGCUCUCCCGUGGCUCCAAGGGAUCUCUGGCCCUUCACGCCGGCACCGAGAUUUUCUCGGGAAGGGCCUCAGAUCCCCGGACCAGUCUGGGACACAGGCAAGAUCCCCCUGCCUUUAGAAAUGAGGCCUUCUUGUGGCUUCCCCCCUGUACCCGUUGGGGGGUUCCAAAGAAGGCCUCUUGAAAUGCCUUUUGGGCUGUCCAUGGCAAGCUUGAGACCAAAUUGGCCCCCUGGAGGGACAGUGCUGUUGGUGCCCCCCGGGUUGGGGCACCCCGAGGACUCCAGCGCGCACCGAAAGGAUUAUUCGGGGAGAUCCUCGGGGUGCCCGGCCCUGGGGAGCUCAAAGCAAGGUCCCUGCAAUGGAUUCAGGCAUUGCUGAGAGUAGCCUGGACUGUGCAGAGAGGGAGCAGUUUGUCCUGUGGAGUUGGGAUGGGUUUGUUCAGGAUGCCUUGGGAGGCAGGGCUGGAGAGGCCCCUCUGUUGGCUGUAGUGUUGGAAGGUUGUAGCAGCAGGGAUGGAGCCUUCGACCUCCUGCUCCCCCCGUGAGCCCCGACGGGACCGUGCCCUUGGCAAUGGAGGGCCCCCCAUUGCUGAGUCAGCGGUUCCGGGGGCCAGGAGGGAUGGGAUCAGGAUGCCGAGCUCCGCCCAGGGCCAGGGCUGCCAAUGUUCAACCAUGGAGAGAACUGAAAGCAGAGUGAGAUGGAGGCCAAGCUGCAGCACAAGGAUGGGUGAGAAAAGACCCUGGUCCUCAGGUGGAGCUUAGAAUUCCCUGGAAAAAUGGAUCUUUUCAGAUGGUUCAGGCCCUUGUGGGUGCUGGAGCAGAGGCCUCUGUAAUUUAUGGUCACCCUAAAAAGUUGCAAGGACAGCAAGUUCUGACUGCAGGAUGAGGUGGGAAACAAAGUGCAGUGGUCCAGAGAAAAGCUGAGCUUAAAAUUGGUCCUGUGCCAGAGCAGCCUCGUGCAGUGCUUGUUGCUGUCCCUGAGUGUCCCAUUGCAGUGGAUAUUUCCAAGGGUGCCUUGUGCUGGGGAACACUGGGGGCAGUUCCCUUUCCCUGGGCAGGGCAGGCAGGGCACGUUUCCCCCCUCGAGGGUGGCUCCACAGUCCCACCCUGUGCCCUGGGAGCGUGGCAGAACACCUGGAGCCACUGUCCUUGCCAGAGAGGGCACAAGGGAUGGUUGGAUGGGUGAGGGAAUGGUUCAGGGAGUACAAGCACCAUUAGAGUGAGUAGGGCAGCACAUGGAAAGGAAGGGGGGAGUUAAUCCUGACAAAAUUCAAGCACCUGCCCAACCUGUGAUAGUUUUAGGAACUCAGAGGUGUUGUGGUCCCCAGGAACUGUUGCCCAGGACUAGGCAGGAGACUUCAGGCUUGGUCACCCCCAGAGCAAGGUGGAAGCCCAGCAGUUUAUUGGUUGGUUUGGCUUUUGGUGACAACAAGGUCCUCCUUUGGGACCAAUCCUUGGCCCGGGCCAUAAAGUCCCAGGGCAGAAGUGUGAGUUUGAGUGGGAAAUGAGCAGCAGGGAGGGUUGGAAACAGCUCAGGGAGCAAUUCAACAGGCUCCAGACGUGUGGCCAAUACGAGCCAGAGAGGGGGAACUGAAGGUUCCUGCCAGUGAUAAUGAUGCCAAUUGGAGCCUCUGGCAGAAGUAGGGUAGGAAGGAAGUGCCCUUAGGAUUUGGGAAUAGGAAGUUACUGGAAGCCAG